GAUACUAACCACCGUAAGCUGUUGUGAUUGGCCUUCGGGUUAACAUGGUGGCAAGCCGUGGGGCCUGAUGUGUGGUUCAAGCGAUGGGGUGACACAGUGGGGUAGCCAUGCCGCUUAGUGGAUUGUUGGUGUAAGCGUGUAGGUGAUGGUGUAGGUAAAUCCGCACUUGUUAGCUGAGACGUGAUGCGUAGCCUUAAUUGGUGAAGUUGGUGAUCCCGUGCUGUCGAGAAAAGCCUCUAGCGAUGUAUAUACUCGGCCCGUACCCCAAACCGACACAGGUAGUCAGGUUGAAAAUACUAAGGCGUUCGGGUGAACUGUGGUUAAGGAACUCGGCAAAAUGCCCCCGUAACUUCGGGAGAAGGGGGACCCUAUGGCGUUAACACCCAUUUGCGGUGGGAAGCGUUGUGGGGUCGCAGAGAAUAGAGGGAAGCGACUGUUUAUCAAAAACACAGGUCCAUGCGAAGACGUUAAGUUGAUGUAUAUGGACUGACGCCUGCCCGGUGCUGGAAGGUUAAGAGGACCGGUUAAUCAAGCUUUGCUUGGUGAAGCUGAGAAUUUAAGCCCCAGUAAACGGCGGUGGUAACUAUAACCAUCCUAAGGUAGCGAAAUUCCUUGUCGGGUAAGUUCCGACCUGCACGAAUGGCGUAACGACUUCCCUGCUGUCUCAACCACAGGCCCGGUGAAAUUGCACUACGAGUAAAGAUGCUCGUUACGCGCGGCAGGACGAAAAGACCCCGGGACCUUCACUAUAGCUUGGUAUUGGUGUUCGGUUCGGUUUGUGUAGGAUAGGUGGGAGACUAUGAAACAUGCACGCCAGUGUGUGUGGAGUCGUUGUUGAAAUACCACUCUGAUCGGAUUGGAUACCUUAACCUUGGCCCAUGAUCUGGGUUGGGGACAGUGCCUGGUGGGUAGUUUAACUGGGGCGGUUGCCUCCCAAAAUGUAACGGAGGCGCCCAAAGGUUCCCUCAGCCUGGUUGGCAAUCAGGUGGUGAGUGUAAGUGCACAAGGGAGCUUGACUGUGAGAGUGACAGCUCGAACAGGGACGAAAGUCGGGACUAGUGAUCCGGCACCUACUUGUGGAUGUGGUGUCGCUCAACGGAUAAAAGGUACCCCGGGGAUAACAGGCUGAUCUUCCCCAAGAGUCCAUAUCGACGGGAUGGUUUGGCACCUCGAUGUCGGCUCGUCGCAUCCUGGGGCUGGAGUAGGUCCCAAGGGUUGGGCUGUUCGCCCAUUAAAGCGGCACGCGAGCUGGGUUCAGAACGUCGUGAGACAGUUCGGUCUCUAUCCGCCGCGCGCGUUGAAACUUGAAGAAGGCUGUCCCUAGUACGAGAGGACCGGGACGGACGUACCUCUAG
rnacentral:rRNA from 1 species